UAAAAAACGAUGAGAAAGAAAGUAGAGAUAAACCCUUUUCCAUCAGAGAGUCUCGGUAGCUGAAAAGAGAUGAACAGGAUUUAUGUUGAAAAUGGCUUUUGAGUGGAUCUUCUGAUUAAUUAAGAAGAUACGGGAUGUUCCGUUAAACAACAGAAGUCUCCCAUGUUGGGGUACUUGUCGAGGCAGUGGAUCGUGAGGUCGCUGCAAAAUAAGGUGGUAACGUAUAACUAUGCCCUUAGA
rnacentral:ncRNA from 1 species